UUUGUAUAAUGGGUCAGCGACUUAUAUUCUGUAGCAAGGUUAACCGAAUAGGGGAGCCGAAGGGAAACCGAGUCUUAACUGGUUGUAAAGUACUUUCAGCGGGGAGGAAGGGAGUAAAGUUAAUACCUUUGCUCAUUGACGUUACCCGCAGAAGAAGCACCGGCUAACUCCGUGCCAGCAGCCGCGGUAAUACGGAGGGUGCAAGCGUUAAUCGGAAUUACUGGCGUAAAGCGCACGCAGGCGGUUUGUUAAGUCAGAUGUGAAAUCCCCGGGCUCAACCUGGGAACUGCAUCUGAUACUGGCAAGCUUGAGUCUCGUAGAGGGGGGUAGAAUUCCAGGUGUAGCGGUGAAAUGCGUAGAGAUCUGGAGGAAUACCGGUGGCGAAGGCGGCCCCCUGGACGAAGACUGACGCUCAGGUGCGAAAGCGUGGGGAGCAAACAGGAUUAGAUACCCUGGUAGUCCACGCCGUAAACGAUGUCGACUUGGAGGUUGUGCCCUUGAGGCGUGGCUUCCGGAGCUAACGCGUUAAGUCGACCGCCUGGGGAGUACGGCCGCAAGGUUAAAACUCAAAUGAAUUGACGGGGGCCCGCACAAGCGGUGGAGCAUGUGGUUAAUUCGAUGCAACGCGAAGAACCUUACCUGGUCUUGACAUCCACAGAACUUUCCAGAGAUGGAUUGGUGCCUUCGGGAACUGUGAGACAGGUGCUGCAUGGCUGUCGUCAGCUCGUGUUGUGAAAUGUUGGGUUAAGUCCCGCAACGAGCGCAACCCUUAUCCUUUGUUGCCAGCGGUCCGGCCGGGAACUCAAAGGAGACUGCCAGUGAUAAACUGGAGGAAGGUGGGGAUGACGUCAAGUCAUCAAUGGCCCUUACGACCAGGGCUACACACGUGCUACAAUGGCGCAUACAAAGAGAAGCGACCUCGCGAGAGCAAGCGGACCUCAUAAAGUGCGUCGUAGUCCGGAUUGGAGUCUGCAACUCGACUCCAUGAAGUCGGAAUCGCUAGUAAUCGUGGAUCAGAAUGCCACGGUGAAUACGUUCCCGGGCCUUGUACACACCGCCCGUCACACCAUGGGAGUGGGUUGCAAAAGAAGUAGGUAGCUUAACCUUCGGGAGGGCGCUUACCACUUUGUGAUUCAUGACUGGGGUGAAGUCGUAACAAGGUAACCGUAGGGGAACCUGCGGUUG
rnacentral:rRNA from 1 species